AUCAUUAUUGAUUGAAUUUGAGUGGGGUUGUAGCUGGUCAUUCUUAUGUGACAUGUGCACAUCUCAUUCAUCCAACCUUCACACCUCUGUGCACUUCUCAUGGGGUUGAUUAUGUCUGAAACAUGGCAGAGUCCUUCUCAUGUGUUUUUWCCACAAACAAAUUUGUUCUAGAAUGUUUUUAUUGUGCAUGAAUGCAUAUAAUACAACUUUCAGCAACGGAUCUCUUGGCUCUCGCAUCGAUGAAGAACGCAGCGAAAUGCGAUAAGUAAUGUGAAUUGCAGAAUUCAGUGAAUCAUCGAAUCUUUGAACGCACCUUGCGCUCCAGGGUAUUCCUUGGAGCAUGCCUGUUUGAGUGUCAUGGUAUUCUCAAUUCUUCUGCAAUUUUUUUUUUGCUGGAAGAACUUGGACUUGGAGGUCUUUGCUGAUGUUCAAAUUUUUAUUUGACUAUUGGCUCCUCUUAAAUGUAUUAGCUUGAGCACUGUCAAGCAUGAUUCAAUGUGAUAAAUGUCUACGUUGCUUCAUGCUGGGACUAUAAAAUGUGUUCUAGCUUCGAACUGUCCCUUUGGACAAUAUCUGAACAUCUGACCUCAAAUCAGGUAGGACUACCCGC
rnacentral:rRNA from 1 species